rnacentral:rRNA from 1 species
CCUACGGGGGGCAGCAGUGAGGAAUAUUGGUCAAUGGACGAGAGUCUGAACCAGCCACGUAGCGUGAAGGAUGACUGCUCUAUGGGUUGUAAACUUCUUUUAUAAAGGAAUAAAACGAGGCACGUGUGCCUUUUUGCAUGUACUUUAUGAAUAAGGAUCGGCUAACUCCGUGCCAGCAGCCGCGGUAAUACGGAGGAACCGAGCGUUAUCCGGAUUUAUUGGGUUUAAAGGGAGCGUAGAUGGGUUGUUAAGUCAGUUGUGAAAGUUUGCGGCUCAACCGUAAAAUUGCAAUUGAUACUGGCAGUCUAGAGUACAGUUGAGGUAGGCGGAAUUCGUGGUGUAGCGGUGAAAUGCUUAGAUAUCACGAAGAACCCCGAUUGCGAAGGCAGCUUACUAAACUGUGACUGACAUUGAUGCUCGAAAGUGUGGGUAUCAAACAGGAUUAGAUACCCUUGUAGUC